GUAAAAUUAAGUUUUCACUUUGAAAUUUAUGGGAAUGAAAAGGCAGAGCUUUUCUAACAAUAAUAAAAUUAUUUCAAAACAAAUACAUCAUCUCACACAAUGAAUGAGCUGUAGAAUUCAAUAUAAGGUUAAUUCUUAUGAAACCUCCAUUAGGCAUGUAUGUCACAGAAAUAUGAGAAAAUCUCCAUUAGGCAUGUAUGUCACAGAAAUAUGAGAAAAUCUGAUUGUAGCACUGUUUUAUUUACCAUGCAAUUUGAUUACCUAAUAGAUAUGCAAAAAGUGAAAUAAAUCUGCACUGAAAUUCUUUUACUUAACCAAUAUUUCAUAGUACAUAUGCUGUGUCAAUCAUUGUCUAAGCCCUUUAAAAGUUUUAACUCAUUUCACCCUCUGACAUUUUUCUGUGGUAGAAACUCUAUUAUUAGUAAUUCAAAGGUGAAUAAAGUGGAGAUACAGAGACAAUAAACAUCUAGCAACUGGUAGUGCCAGGAUGAGAAGCCAGGCAGACUGGCCUUAGAUCCAUGAUUUACCUACCUGAAAAUGUUAUUAUAAUUGAACACUGACGUUUUCAUAUUUAUCUUAUAUAUAUGUUGACAACUUGGGCGUAUAUGUUAAAGAAUCACAAAAAGAGAUUUUCAUUUUUCUUGAGUAGUCUUUUGAUGAUGUAUUUCUUUCAUUGAAGUUCAAGGCAGUGGUUGUAUGUCUUCAGCUACUUUGUGUAUUGCCCUUUAUAAAUUCUCAUAACUAUUCACACUUAUACUUUCUCAUUUCUGAUCCCAUCCUCUAGAAAAAUGAGGAAAAUAGGUGUGGUUUACCACAUUUAUUUUUUUUGAUUCCGAAGCACUAUCAGCAGUCAAAAUGAAAGGAAAUUAAGAGGGUUUUUCAAUCCAAUUUUCUAUUGUUUUCUUAGGAAGAAAUUGAAGCAGAACAGAAUCCAAAUCCAUUCAGAGAACACUUUGGUUCAGUGAGGACUUAAUCAAGAAUACUCAUUCUUUACAGGCCAGGCAAUUAUUAGAAGAUGUGUCACUGAAUCAGUAAUAUAUUUUGUAAGAUCUGAUGGCUGUUCUUUCUGUUUUUGCAAUUACUACAUUCACCAAAGUUGGACUUCUGCUGGUAGGUUUCACAGACCCCAUAUUUCUUUCAUUUCUUCUUUUUCAAAGUGGGUAGUAAAGUGGUAUCCUGGCCUUGCAAACUAUAUUGUGAAAUGUUUCCAUUUUCCUAUCAUUUAAAAGGUUUUUCCUAAGAUAGAUCUGAUUUCUUCCUUUAAUAUUUAGUAGAAUUUGUCAGUGAGUUUGGAUAUGAGCCUGAAGUUUUCUUUGUUGGAAAUUUUAAAUAUGAUUUAUUUAUGUAAUGGUCAUAAAACUUUUCAAUUCUGUUUCUUCUUAAUUUACAUUUGGCAAUUAUCUGCAUAAAACUUGUAGACUUUCUAAUUUAGUAGGAUGAUUUUACCCUCAUCUUCUUUUUACUGAUGCCACAUUUUUGUCUGUGAAUGGUGCAAGGAUGCUCUUUUUGCAUUGAUACUACAUUUUUAGUGCCUUCUCUCUUCCUUAUGUGCUUAAUCUUGUCCAAGGUUCAUAUACUGUGUUAAUUUCUUCAUAAAAUCAACUGUUG
rnacentral:lncRNA from 13 species